rnacentral:rRNA from 1 species
GACGUAGGGCGCGAGCGUUGUCCGGAUUUAUUGGGCGUAAAGAGCUCGUAGGCGGCUUGUCGCGUCGACUGUGAAAUCCCGCGGCUCAACUGCGGGUCUGCAGUCGAUACGGGCAGGCUAGAGUUCGGUAGGGGAGACUGGAAUUCCUGGUGUAGCGGUGAAAUGCGCAGAUAUCAGGAGGAACACCGAUGGCGAAGGCAGGUCUCUGGGCAUUAACUGACGCUGAGGAGCGAAAGCAUGGGGAACGAACAGG